rnacentral:tRNA from 1 species
GGCGCGGUGGCCGAGCGGUCAGGCACGGAGGUUCGAAAUCUUCGCCACACCGGUUCGAUUCCGGUCCACGCCCCCA